UACGGAGGGGGCUAGCGUUGUUCGGAAUUACUGGGCGUAAAGCGCACGUAGGCGGCUUUGUAAGUUAGAGGUGAAAGCCCAGGGCUCAACCCUGGAAUUGCCUUUAAGACUGCAUCGCUUGAAUCAUGGAGAGGUGAGUGGAAUUCCGAGUGUAGAGGUGAAAUUCGUAGAUAUUCGGAAGAACACCAGUGGCGAAGGCGACUCACUGGACAUGUAUUGACGCUGAGGUGCGAGAGCGUGGGGAGCGAACCGG
rnacentral:rRNA from 1 species